UUAAUGAUAUGAAUGCAAGUUAUAAUGACAAACUGAUGGAGUAAAAUCAUUGAGUUUAAAACAUUAUAAUAUUGUGGAUAUAUUAAUUAAACAACCAUUCUGCACCUUGCUGUCCCACAACGCAACACAUUAGUAGGCAUAACACUGGCCCACUGCGACUCUAGUCCAGAACCAACUCCCUGUAGAGACGUAAGACAAAGUGAAAGGUCUCUAGUCUAAUACUCUAGGGCAGAGAAACAACUGGGACA